CAACACUCUAAACUGUGCAUGAAAAACAGAAACUUUUUUUAAAGCAUCACUCUCACUGUCUCUUUUAAAUGACUUGCUUAGCUGUUGAUAGGUAGAAACGUCAUUUUUUAACAGUUGCUCCAUUCUUGAAACGCUCACCACAGGAAUGGAAGCUGAUGACCAGACGUCAGUUACGCGUUUCAGCACUAAAGAAGCAGCUUCUCUAAAAGAUGGGUUGCUACCUUUCUUAUCUUCUUUUAAUCUAGCCACACGUAAAAGUAAUACUUUAAAGCAUCCUCUCGAGUUGGCAGCAUGCGCCCAUCGAAAUCUGUAGGAUGCCCUAAAAUGUUCAAUGUAAGAUUUCUUCGACAUACACUCAUGUCGAUGUGGAUAAAUGCAGAUAAACAGCUUUACUACGAUUCACUUGUGAACUAUUUGAGAUACACAAACUAAGCAACUGUAGAACAACAGGUCUACAUACACACUUUUUUACGUUGACACGCAGAAGUUAGUAUUGGGCCCUAACGAUUCACACAAGUAAAUCUAAGGUGGCGAAGAGAUGCAAAUUUCAAAUUAUAAUUUUCGAGAAAUAAAUUUAAAGAACACGCAAUCUUUCGACAUUAACUUUCAACAAGAGUACUCUAGAAUAGGUAUAGGUUCGACGGCAAUUCAUACGUAUUUUAGUGUCUGAGAAUAACACUUUUGACUAGUAAAAGUUGGAAAUAUACGGAAAACAUCGUCGCACAGCAAUCGGAUUUUGCACACGUAUUCUGGACAUGUGUACACAGCUUUUAAGCCCUAUUAGCGUUUCAAAGUAGAAAAAAAAUUUUUAAUGACCUAA